UACGAAGGGGGCUAGCGUUGUUCGGAAUCACUGGGCGUAAAGGGCGCGUAGGCGGAUUGUUAAGUCAGGGGUGAAAUCCCGAGGCUCAACCUCGGAACUGCCUUUGAUACUGGCGAUCUUGAGUCCGGGAGAGGUGAGUGGAACUCCGAGUGUAGAGGUGAAAUUCGUAGAUAUUCGGAAGAACACCAGUGGCGAAGGCGGCUCACUGGCCCGGAACUGACGCUGAGGCGCGAAAGCGUGGGGAGCAAACAGG
rnacentral:rRNA from 1 species